rnacentral:lncRNA from 1 species
ACCAGCUGAACAUCAAUCUCUAGAAGAACCAAACCUCAGCACCAACCUGUUCAUCAUGAUGAUCAGAAUCCUCUGCCUGAGCGUCCUCGUGCUGCUUUUCUGCACAGACAUUGAAGCUAAAAAAGAAAAGACCGAAAAGACCGAAAAGUUCAAAAAGUUCAAGUGUUUCACUUGUACAGAGAAAUACUGCAAAAAACAACAGUAUUGUAGUGAAGGACAGGUCUGCAUGAGCGCCUCUGUUAUCGAACUCACACAUGGACAUCAGAAUAAAUCCUACUACAGGUCCUGUACGUCACCUUCAUACUGUCCAAAGAGUGAAAAAGCAGAGACCUUGUCCAUCGGCUUGGGUUAUCAGGUGUUUGUGGCGACCGUUAAGUGCUGCAAGUCCCAUCUCUGCAACGAAAAACCUCAACCCCACCCUAAGAUACCAUCAGGAAAUGGGUUGACGUGCCUUUUCUGCAGCAACACUAAAAACCCAAAGGAAUGCAAAGUCAAGGAAUGCAUUGGAAAUCAAACUGACUGCGUGCGAGCAAUCAGAAAUGGAACUCAUCAGAGUGGGUGUGCAACUAAAAACUUCUGUCACCCCGUCAAGAUACUCGGACGCUACAAGCCUGUUAAUGGCUUCGCUGGUGCCUUCAGUUUUCCAGUUCAGUGUGAGUUACCAAAACCUGCACCUGAACCAACAACUGCUGAACCAACAACUGCUGAACCAACAACUGCUGAACCAACAACUGCUGAACCAACAACUGCUGAACCAACAACUGCUGAACCAACAACUGCUGAACCAACAACUGCUAAACCAACAACUGCUGAACCAACAACUGCUGAACCAAAGUGUGUUCCAGUUGAAACCACUCCUGAACCAACCCUUCCACCCUGUGAUAGAAAGGGAUAACUACUCCCACCACGUUAAACCAG